rnacentral:rRNA from 1 species
UACGGAGGGAGCUAGCGUUGUUCGGAAUUACUGGGCGUAAAGCGCGCGUAGGCGGCUUUGUAAGUUAGAGGUGAAAGCCCGGGGCUCAACCCCGGAACUGCCUUUAAGACUGCAUCGCUUGAAUCCGGGAGAGGUGAGUGGAAUUCCGAGUGUAGAGGUGAAAUUCGUAGAUAUUGGGAAGAACACCGAUGGCGAAGGCAGCCAUCUGGACCGACACUGACGCUGAGGCGCGAAAGCGGGGGGAGCAAACAGG